GGGCCACUCGCGGAGCAUUGUGGACUUGGUAGUUCGCAACUACCGGAAAUGAUGCAACGGAAUCCUGCAUUAUGGCUAAGCAUCAUGGACUUGGUAGUUGGAAAGAACCGGAAGUGACGCGACGGAACUCCGGAUGCACUACAAACACUUAUUGAUUGGAUGAAGUAAAAAUUGGCGGGAAAUUUGAAACCUUUUAAGUUGGACAAACAGAGAUUGCUUGUAG